rnacentral:rRNA from 1 species
UGGGGAAUUUUGGACAAUGGGCGAAAGCCUGAUCCAGCAAUGCCGCGUGUGUGAAGAAGGCCUUCGGGUUGUAAAGCACUUUUGUCCGGAAAGAAAUCCUUGGCUCUAAUACAGUCGGGGGAUGACGGUACCGGAAGAAUAAGCACCGGCUAACUACGUGCCAGCAGCCGCGGUAAUACGUAGGGUGCAAGCGUUAAUCGGAAUUACUGGGCGUAAAGCGUGCGCAGGCGGUUUGCUAAGACCGAUGUGAAAUCCCCGGGCUCAACCUGGGAACUGCAUUGGUGACUGGCAGGCUAGAGUAUGGCAGAGGGGGGUAGAAUUCCACGUGUAGCAGUGAAAUGCGUAGAGAUGUGGAGGAAUACCGAUGGCGAAGGCAGCCCCCUGGGCCAAUACUGACGCUCAUGCACGAAAGCGUGGGGAGCAAACAGGAUUAGAUACCCUGGUAGUCCACGCCCUAAACGAUGUCAACUAGUUGCUGGGGAUUCAUUUCCUUAGUAACGUAGCUAACGCGUGAAGUUGACCGCCU